AUACUUACUUGGUAGGGGAGAUACCAAGAUCAUGAAUAUGGUUUGCCCAGGGUGAGGCUUAUUCACUGCAUUAUGGAUGUGCUGACCCCAGCAAUUUCCCCAAAUAUGAGAAACCCUUGACUGCAUGAUUUGUGGUGGUGGUGGGGGUACUAUGUUCACUCUCUCCCA
rnacentral:snRNA from 1 species